rnacentral:rRNA from 1 species
CAAUAGCGUAUAUUAAAGUUGUUGCAGUUAAAAAGCUCGUAGUUGGAUUUCUGGUUGAAGCGACCGGUCGGGCGUUGAUUCGUCUGCACUGGAGUCGGUUUUGGCCAUCCUCUAGGAAAGUGCGUCUGGUAUUAAGUUAUCGGGCGUAUGAUCCUGGUCUUUUACUGUGAAAAAAUUAGAGUGUUUAAAGCAGGCCUUCGCCUUGAAUACAUUAGCAUGGAAUAAUAAGAUAGGACUUUGGUCUAUUUUGUUGGUUUGCAGACCGAAGUAAUGAUUAAUAGGGAUGGUUGGGGGUAUUUAUAUUCCGAUGUCAGAGGUGAAAUUCUUAGAUUUUCGGAAGAUAAACUUAUGCGAAAGCAUUUACCAAGGAUGUUUUCAUUA